GCAUGCGACAAGUGUCAGAAAGAGAAGCGCAAGACGAUAAACGGGGACGAUCUACUCUGGGCCAUGGCCACGUUAGGGUUUGAGGAAUACAUCGAGCCACUUAGAAUCUACCUGCAGAAAUAUAGAGAGGUGCCUUUCAUAUAAGCCUUUUACCUGUCAUUUCCCACGUUUCUUGUCAAUUUAGUUCUAAUUAUUUUUCUAUUUCUUCCCUUGUCUUCUAUUACGUUUCGCGAUGUCUGUUCGGCUACAGCUGGAGGUAAUGCUUUUAUCGCUAUUCGUUACGUGGUUGUUAUUUAUUCAGUUAAAUAGCCUCCUAUGGAUGUAGUCAAACAGUUUCCAAAUUCUCCUUGGAAAUCGAAUUUUGACAGGGCGACUCAAAAGGAUCUUCAAAGAAAGAGGGGAGCGGUUCCCAGAGUGGAAAUCUAUCUGCUUCAGCCUCUCAGGUUGAAAUCUAUCUGCUUUUUUCUGUUUCAUCUUGUACGCGAAGUUGACAGAUGCAAGGGGCUAUUAGGCAGAACACGAACUACAUGUAUCCUCAGUCGAUAUUUCUUCUGUCAGAUUCUUUUUAAAAAAAUUCUUAAUACUAGAAGAAAAGGGAUAAAAACACUAAUGAUUCAAAUCACGAGUUGCUAAAUCCGCCCGAUCUACUUGUAGUGCUGUUUCCUUUGCAUUUCAGUAUUUUUUGUUCUCUUUCCUGGGGAUCAAUAAUCUGAAGUUUCAGCGUUCGUUCGUCUCUCAUGUUUGUAUGUAUGAGCCUUAUCUCGCUCAAAACCGGCCUCUUUCAGGAUCAGAUCAUUUUUUGUCUUGAUUUCCAUUCACAUAGAGACAUUUACGCCAUUUUCAGAAACAUUUAUUCACCGAAAGCAUUUAUGAACUUUUCUCUUAUCAUGUCAUCACUGCUACUCAACUUCCUCCUGUGCCGUUAUGAUCACGUGCAGACUUAUCCUAGUCCCAUUUUCGAAGAGCAGACAUCACUUUUGAGUUGUUAGUAUGGCUCAUCGUUAAUGUCUUCUACAUAUAUCGUCCUAAUGUUGAUCAAUGUUCUACUUUUUGUAUGAUACCAUCUAUAAAAGAAACUAAUGAUAAGAAGUUGAAAAGAAAUUGCACCUCUAAACUUUUAUAACUUUACUAACGUCAAAAAUCCUAUGGACCGACUAAAAAAGUAAAAUACUGUAAUAUCAUGGAAAAUUGACUCAGAAAAGUUAGAAAUUUAGCUUUCUCCGUUUUGAUGAUCUGAAAUAUGAAACUGUGCUCAUAUGUUCCAUGUUGUUUGGUUUUAUAAUGGUUUUAUAAUGUUGUUUGGUUUCAUGUUCCUGCUGGGUUAUGUGGGAACCGAUUUUCUUAAAGGGUUCGAUUAUGAGCCCUCAAUGAAGACCAAUGUAUGGGCAAAAGAAGGCCCUCGGCGUCCAUUCUUCCAAUCCUCGCUGUGGCCAGCACGCAAAUAAAGGACUGUAACGAUCUAAUCUUCC
rnacentral:lncRNA from 1 species